rnacentral:rRNA from 1 species
GUCGUGGCGCCAGCCGCGCAGCAGGGUAGCUAUGCAUGGACGGGAUAACCGCUGAAAGCAUCUAAGCGGGAAGCCUCCCUCAAGAUAAGGUAUCUUCGAGUCGUGAUAGACCAUCACGUUGAUAGGCCGGGUGUAGAAGCGUGGUAACAUGUGGAGCUAACCGGUCCUAAUAACUCUGAUCAUGUUUGA